AAAUUCUGAUAUAAAAAGAAGUUCCACAUCUUGCCUCUUGAAAUUAUUCACUCUCAUAUUAGCGAUGCAUACAUGUCUAGAGUUGUCGUAAAACUCCUGGACACCAGAGAAGAAUCAUGGCUCAAUUAUUAUUUGUAUUUCAAUUGCAGUAAUGCAGAUUAAGCAGUGUAGCUUAGAACCUUUUCCUUUUGAUCAUAAGUUACAAAUAUUCUCUCUCUCUCUCUCUCUCUCUCUCUCUCUCUCUCUCUCUCUUUCUCUCUCUCUCUCUCUCUUUCUCUCUCUCUCUCUCUCUCUCUCCCUCUCUCCCUCUCUCCCUCUCUCCCUCUCUCCCUCUCUCCCUCUCUCCCUCUCUCCCUCUCUCCCUCUCUCCCUCCCUUCCUCCCUCCCUUCCUCCCUCCCUUCCUCCCUCCCUUCCUCCCUCCCUUCCUCCCUCCCUUCCUCCCUCCUUUCUUCCCUCCCUCCCUCCCUCCCCCCCCUCUCUCUCCCCCUCUACCUUUCCAUUUGUGAGAGAUAUUAACUGAUAGUAAGCUACAGUAGUUGCCAUUUUUUAUGCUUCAAAAUCAUCAAAACCAGUCUUCAGUGCCAAACCAGUAGUGUAAACUGCAAUAUGCAUUAAUGUGUGUACAAAAACUGAUUUUUUGAAGGAUGGUAGUAUUUCAUGGUAUAAAAGUUCCUUCAUCUGAACAUUCCUGUUUAAGAUUUACACAUACCUCCAUAUAUUUGUAGAGUUGGAUAGAUAUACCUUCGUAUUUCUUCUCUUUUUCUUCAUCUUUUAUGUGUAUAAGUAGUCCUCCUUCUUAAAUAAUGAUGCAUUACCUUUGCUAGAGGUUUGCAUUUAAAAUACGUUAUUUGGAGCUUAGUAAGAUCUGACUAGUCUACCUAAAAUAAUUCUUGUGUAUUUGGUAUAGGGGACUGAAUCACUAUGAAAUAUGAUAUAGCAUAAACGAAAUUAUAAAAAAAAUACUAGUAAUGAAAAAUGAGAAAGUUCAAUCCAACUUUUGGAAAUGGUUUACAGUCAAGUCAAAGGGUGUUUUUAACAUUAAUCUAAUUAUUCAUGAAGAAAGCAUUUAGACGAUUUUUUUUUUUUUUUUUUUUCCCCCUUUCGUUCUUUCUUUCUUUCAAGAAUUUUGGUGCCAUAUACAAGUAUGCCACCAAUGAUGGUUAGGUGCCUCUUUUGAUCUGGACAGAUGUACAAGUGCACUCUUAAGUCUCAUAUAAAUGCCGACUAUAGUGUUUAGUCACAUAAAUGUUUACACUGAAGUUCACUGUCUAGCUUAUUUUGCUUACAUUUACUCCUAGUUAUGGCUUCCAAAGCAAAGUACAAGGAUUAGAGGAGGCUUGUAGCCAGUCCAUAUCAAUUCAGGAUAAAGUGUCGAGACUUCCACAUCUCUCUGUUACAUUGAAGGGAAUCUUGCAUUUCUGUAAAUGGUUUUAUUUAGCAUACCCGGAGAUAUACAAGUAUACUGUAGGCCCUUGUUUUUAUAAGAGUGGGAGUGAGUGUGCAUAAGGGAAUUUGAAUGCAUGGAUGAGCAUGUGUGAAUGUAUGAGUGAGCAUGUGUCAGUAUAUGUGUGAGCAUGUGUGCGUGUGUGUGCUUCUGUGCGCACGUGCCUGCCUGCGUGCAUGCACGUGUAUGUGUGUGCGUGUGUGUGUGUGUGUGUAUGUGUGUGUGUGUGUGUGUGUGUGUGUGUGUGUGUGUGUGUGUGUGUGUGUGCGCGCAUGCAUGUAUGUGCAUUUGACUCCACACUUGUGGUCUUGUGCCACUGCAUGUGUGUUUGUGUGUAAGAUAAAGAAUCUCAGAGUGACAUACUGAGAAGUGUAGAGGGGAAGUAUGAGAAGAGAGAGGUAGGAUAAAACAUAUUAAAUUCACUCUGUAUUAAUCUGGCUUCCUCUAAACCUGUCAGCUGGCUCUGGCCAGUUCUCAGAGAUAGCUUUUUAUAUAAUCAUAGCUGCUUUAGAAUCACUGGAGACUUGAAUUAUAUAUAUAUAAAUAUACAUGUGAUAGAUAUAUUAUUCCAAGUUUAAAGUAACUAUUGUUAUGUAAGGUUUUUAUUGAAAAAUAAAAAAAGUAUAUAUGUAUA